GCUGCAAUUAUGCAUAUAAAUACUGAUCAGGGCACAGCGUAGAAAUCAAAAAUACAGUUUCAAAUCUCAUAUAUGAGGAUUCAGUUCCACCACAUAUUCUACAAUUCUGAAAGAGGCUAAUUUUAAUAAUAUGUUGUAAGAGCAUUGUGAAUAUAUAUACUGCAAAAUUAAUUUGAUAUUGCAAAGCCUGCAAUAUUCUAAACAGACAUUAAAAAUUAAGAAAAAAGAAGAAGAAUG